ACCAAGGCGACGAUCUGUACUUGGUCUGAGAGGAUGACCAGGCACACUGGAACUGAGACACGGUCCAGACUCCUACGGGAGGCAGCAGUGGGGAAUUUUCCGCAAUGGGCGAAAGCCUGACGGAGCAAUACCGCGUGAGGGAGGACGGCUUUUGGGUUGUAAACCUCUUUUAUCAGGGAAGAAUCGAUGACGGUACCUGAUGAAUCAGCAUCGGCUAACUCCGUGCCAGCAGCCGCGGUAAUACGGAGGAUGCAAGCGUUAUCCGGAAUUAUUGGGCGUAAAGCGUCCGUAGGUGGUUUAUCAAGUCUGCUGUCAAAGCGUGCGGCUUAACCGCAUAAGGGCAGUGGAAACUGAUGAACUAGAGUGCGAUAGGGGUAACAGGAAUUCCCAGUGUAGCGGUGAAAUGCGUAGAUAUUGGGAAGAACACCAGCGGCGAAAGCGUGUUACUGGGUCUGCACUGACACUGAGGGACGAAAGCUAGGGGAGCGAAAGGGAUUAGAUACCCCUGUAGUCCUAGCCGUAAACGAUGACAACUAGGCGUGGUUCGUAUCGACCCGAGCCGUGCCGUAGCCAACGCGUUAAGUUGUCCGCCUGGGGAGUACGCACGCAAGUGUGAAACUCAAAGGAAUUGACGGGGGCCCGCACAAGCGGUGGAGUAUGUGGUUUAAUUCGAUGCAACGCGAAGAACCUUACCAAGGCUUGACAUCCUCGGAACCCUGAUGAAAGUUAGGGGUGCCUUCGGGAGCCGAGAGACAGGUGGUGCAUGGCUGUCGUCAGCUCGUGUCGUGAGAUGUUGGGUUAAGUCCCGCAACGAGCGCAACCCACGUUUUUAGUUGCCAGCAUUCAGUUGGGCACUCUAGAGAGACUGCCGGUGACAAACCGGAGGAAGGUGUGGAUGACGUCAAGUCAGCAUGCCCCAUACGC
rnacentral:rRNA from 2 species